AGCAAAAACUUAGCAGCAAAUAUUAAAAAAUGCUGUUAAAAUAACAUUUUAACAACACUUCAUAAAAAAUGCCGUGAGAAGUAAAAAAAAUUGCCGCACGUGUCAUCGCGCCGCUUUUCACUCCCACAAAUAAUUUUUCUUAUUUUCUAUUUUCAUUUUUCUCACCUCUUUCCUAUCCUUACUCUCGCUCUAGGUCAUGAACUUACUCUCGCUCCACUCUCAAUCAACUGAUUGCAUCAGUCCAUGUGAAAAAUCUUCAAUUUGAGAGCUUCUUUUCAAUCCAGAGUUUCGAUUGUAAUUCAGAGAGAAAUCCAAACCAAACUGUUGAGUUCAUUAAUCAGUCUAUCCACUUGCAGAGUCAGACGUCUUCAUCUUUUGUCUCCUUCUGCAAGAACUUAGGGAAAAUCUGGUGCUGUAAUCCUUGUUAACUCACUAAGGCAUGGGGCUACUGCAACUCUAACAUCACAAUCUGAAUGCUGUAAAAAUUCUUUAGCAAUUAAAGCCUUCAUUAUUGGAGAGAGUGCAGCUUGCAUUGAAGCACACGGGUCCUGGUUUACUUUGCAAAGCAAGUGAUCAGUUUUGAAAACUGGUGCAGUUCUGGACUGGUUCCAAAACUAGAAUAUCCCUGCACUUGUGACCAAACAGUGCUGCAUAUGAUUCUGGACUGGAGAAAAUCUGCUGGGCCAAGACAGACAAACUGGUAUGGAUGUUAAAAUCUGGGCUGCUGGAUGUUUCAAAGUGAACUGGGUCAAACUGUGAUGCGGGUCGGGUUUACCGGUUUAAAGAGAAACCAAAUCUUUCCUUUUUCCAAACCAAUUCUGACUUUUUUUUUUUUUUUUUUUGGAAAGUUAAACCAAUUCUGACUUCCCAAAAUCCUGAUAUAUCCAAACCAGACGCUAUAAUCCAAAGAUGACUUUCUAAAAUCGCGAAGAUGACGCUGAAUUAAAUUCGACUUCCCAAUAUCAAACACUGCUGAAAUGGUGACUAACAGCGAUGAUCAGAAAUUCUCUGGUGAGAUUGUUUGGCGGUGGGCUGGCUUACAGCAAGAGAUGUAAUGAUGGUGACGGUGGCGACGAGAAAACUCUGGCAAGAUGAACUGUGAUGGUUUUCACUAGAGUGGGUGAAGAACACGAUGAACAAGGGCUUGGUUUAGGGCAGACGUUUGGAUGAAUUGUGGUGGGGUUUUGGUGGCAGCGGAUAGAGGUAUUUUGGGUGGAUGACAGAAGGCGAUGAACAAAUAGUGGGUGUACUGUGUGUGAACAGUAGGGCUAACAAUGAUUAUUGCUGAACGUUUAUUUUUUAUUUUUUGCUAAAAAGAUGACGAUGGCUGAACUUCGAAUCUUUGCUCUGAUACCAAUUGAUGCAGUAGUGGGUAGGGGCGAUUCGAAACUAGAAUUAAAGUAGAGUAAGAACGAGAUUGAGAGAGAAAGGAUAGAAGAAUAGAGGGAAGAGGAAUCAGAAAAGAAGAAGAAUUCCGAGGGAGAAGAAAUCACGAUAAUAUCAAAUUUCAAUAUCAAUAAUAAUCAUCAAAAGCUGACUUUCCCAUUGUCUGAACCAACAUAUAAAUAGACAGCAAAGAAAACCCUAAUCAACCUAUUACCAUAAAUAAAACCCUAAAUUGCUGAAAUAUCCCAUAAUAAUAAUAAAUAAACAAAAAUCUGUAAUUCUAUCUUUCUUUCCCACGUCUCCAAUAAUAGGCAUGGGCCGUAUGGACUUCAAGCUGGCUUGGGCCGUAUGGACUUCAAGCUCUCAGGCCAGGCCUGGUUCUUCAUCAAUGUGUCCUGCUGGUUUUUAUUUAAUUAUAUGCUAUUAUAGAUCAUGCUUUGAGCACAACUCGAGCGUUUGGAAAUAAACUAGCGAAUUCAGUGUCACAUUGACUGUUAAAUGCUUAGGCAACAUAGGAGAUCAUCUGCACUCAUUUGAAACAUCAUUUAUACUACUCUACAUUUUCAUUUUACUUACUUUUCAUGCUCAAUUAGCAAAACCAUUUCAGGGUCACAUAUCUCUCAGGUCUGAUCUAAUUAGAUAUUUGAUAAUAAUUGGUAUAAUUUAAAACUAACAGUAAUGUUUCUUAUAAGUACGUUUCUUAUAAUAAAAGAGUCACACAAAACUCUAAUAUGAAUGGAUGGGCAGCUCACGGACUCCAGUGAAGUUUAAUUUUCCAAGUUUAAUUUUCCAUGCUUGUCAACUACGGGAGGGAAAUUUCAUUUACUAAUGGGCUUGGGUUGAAAGGAUGGAAGUUGUAUGUUAAAUGUUUUGGCACUCAAACCCUAAGGUUUAAAGUACAUGUUUGGGUAGAGUGGGAAAGGAUGGCACCUUUCUUUGUUUUAUAGAAAUGUACCUUGUGAAUAUCUGCUUAUUUGAAGAACUACACAAUUUUUACAGGACUAUUGGCAGAGCUUCUGUAACGACCCAAAUCCUCAUGGAUCCGGAUCAUUAAAUGGGUCCUUACCCGACCCAAAAUCAUCCAAGGGUAAAACGGUCAUUUCACGUUAAAUUAAAAUGUUGAGUUCCAAAAAGGGCAAGAUGGUAAUUUACCAUAUUUCAAUAAAUUAAGACCCAAAGGACGUCAUAGUCAUUUACGUGCAUCACACAAUAAUUAAAAUGAGGUCCGGGGUAAAAAUAGUCCUUUUGGGGGAAAAAUAUAAUUAUUUCAUUUUGGUGGGUCAUAAAAUAAUUACGUGCAACAUCACUUGGGGCCAAAAUGAAAUUAUAAGAAUUUAAAAUUUGUAAUUACAUAUGUGACGUAAACCGGUCGACGUAUAUGCAUCAAACGUCGAUUGGUUUGGGUUAGGAACAGUGGUAAUAACCACUGCCAAGAUACCGGUCGACUGGUUAUGAACAUAAGUUAUAAUGGAUACCGGUCGACUGGUUUGGGACGUAUGCCAUAAUGACCAUUCUGCCCAGAUACCAGUCGACAUUUGGGAAGCCACGUGUCGAUCGGUUCUGGGAAAAUUGCACUCCUACUUCCCACUGUUCAGUGAUAACUCACUUACACCAACACUUGGUAAUUAACCACCCCGCCACUACAUUCACGUAUAAAAUUAAGAUAUACUUCAACAUCAAAUUGUAAUAUCAACCACCACGUUGGUAACGUAAUUUACAACACGUUACUUAGAAUACACAAAACUGAUUUUGAGUGAGUAAUACUUAAUUACAUUUUCUCAAGGAUCAUUCACAAGCUUAAUUACAUUCCUAAAACUAUAAUUACACAUGAAAUAGCUAAAUACAAGAUACCAAAAAUCAUCUUCUAACAACUUUCAAUUUUGAGGUGGAUUAGCAUCCGCCGAUUCUUUUCCAAGACCUGAAAAAAAUAUCUAUAGAUAGUAGGGUGAGCUAUAUGCUCAGUAGGUGGCACUUAAGACACACAUCUUGUGUCCUUGUGAAUCCAAUCAAAGCAUAGACCGAUGGGAAAUGGGGAUCAUGCAAUGUAGGGUUAAAACAACUUCAAUGUCAAUUCCAAGUGUAAACAAUGCAAUACAAUGAAAUGCAAUGCAUGAUAUGUCACUCCCCAUUUUUCAUUUCUCAAAAUCAUACUUUCCAACUGUUAAUACAGCCCGCCCUUUGGUAACCCCGCCGCGACAUGAGAGGAGGAUUGGCUAGUGUCCCUGACCCUUGGUAACCCCGCGACGUCAUUAUGGGGCCCAGCUAGCUCAACCACGCUAGGGCGACUCUCUAGUCCCCUCUAGGCUAUAUUAACCUCCGGCCCGUUGGUAACCCUGCAGCGACUGGGUUUAUCAAAACCAUUUCACAAAAACUCUUCUCCCAAAAUUCCCGUUUUCAUUUCAAAAACUGAUUUCUCCUAUUUCAUGCAACCCAAUGGCAUGUACAUGUAUAUGUGUCUCAAACUUACAAUAUUAUGGCAUGUAGAAGUUUUACAUUUCAUAAUUACUUCACAACUAAGCAUAUAUCAUAUUUAGGGCCUGUUUGGUAUUUAUUUUAUUUUUAUUGUUUUUGUUUUAGGCCGGCUACAGUAGCCCAAAUGAAGCCCAAAACAUGUUUGGUUAAUUAUGUUUUGUUUUGCACAGUUAUAAAACAUUUCAGUAAAAAAUCUCAAAACUUGAAACACCAAAAUGGUGUUUUAUCUCGUUUCAGCCCUGUUUGCCCAAGAUUUCACUGUAGCGGAAGAAGUAGCCGACCCAACUUAAAACAUACUUACUUCAGGUAUAUAAACAUUUUAGGUUAUUUUUGGCAAAUUUUCUCUCUCCUCUCCCAAUACUCUCUCUGCGAUUCAAGGCGAUUUCAGAAAAUUUCAUCACCGAUCGAAGUUGCAUUUGCUGGAUUCAAACUUGAAACAUAUAAAACACAGAUCACACAGAAACAAACCAGUAUCGUCUUCAUCUUCUUCCUUUCAACCAGUAACCCUAGUGACACAUGAUAUGGUGCUCUGAAAUAAAACCAUGGCUACCAAUGUUUUGAUAAUUAGAAAUUCUAAAUUAUUCUUGGUCACUGAAGUUGAAUAUGCAAUCUAACUCAAGUAGAUUCCACUCUCGGCAAAGCCAAAAUUUUGAAACCAUUUGCUGAAAAUAAAAGCCCCAGUUUCAAAGCUAGAAGAUUUUUUGAAACCUUUUAUUGAAAUUAAAACCCCAAUUUUUGUAAAAUCUAAUCUGGAUACCAAACCCACAUCACACAAAACCAAACCAGUAUAAUAACCCAACAAAACCCAAACACAGCACAAACCAAACCCAGAACAAUGGAGUCGUCAUCUCACGUUGGCGGCCUUGUUCGGAGCGUCGGUAAUGGCAGUCUCUACCUUCUACAUCCACAAGCGUAACCUCGACCAAGCUCUCGAACGCCUCAUCAAAAUCCGCCGCAAAUCCCCUCCCUCCGCCGCCGAUCAUUUCGCCUCCGAUGAUGAGGAACAUGAAGAUCACGACAGAGGUGGAGAGAUUGACAACUUCAUGCCAGCUAAGGUCCUGAGAUAAGGCUGACUUCUUUUCUUUUUCUUUUUUUCGUUUUUUUUUUUCACUUUUUAGGUUUUUUUUUUGAAACAAUUGCAGUGACCAAAUGGGUUUUGCAUGUUUCUGUUUCCAAUAUUUUCACAACAAAAUAUCAUUCCCAAACGUGUUUCUAAUUUCUUUACAAAACACUCUUACAACAAAAAUAUUGUUUCUGUUUUUGUCAAAAGUAAAACACCAAAAACAAAACGCAUACCAAACGGACCCUUAACAUCAUCAAUUGAGUCAUCAACACAUUAAACACAACAAAACUAUCACCACAACAUGCUUUUCACAUAGAACAAAUCAUAAUCAAAAUCAUGAAUUUCUCUAGACAUCAAUUACACAACAUUGAAACAAUUAACUCUUAAAUUAAGCAUGUUUAUCACACAAAGGAGAUAUAACUCACAAUGGAACAAGAAGGAAGUGGAUUAAGGGCCCCGACCUCAAGUUUGCACCAAAACCCUAAAGAUGGGUCUCAAUUUCGAAUUCCCUAGGGAGGGUCAAAGCUGGAAUUGAUGGUACUCACGCGUAGAGCUUGUCGUGCUCUCCGUUUUGCCUCAAACGGCACCUUAAUCCACCAAGAAUUGAGAGAAUAAUCAAAGCUCAAAGAUUGCCUUUUAAGUGAAAAGAAAAAGAAAAGGAAAAUGAGAGAGGGAGAGAAGCUACAGGAGAGAGAGAAUGUGUGGAGCAAAGAAGUGUGGUCUCAAGACCAUUUCAAGUGUGAGUGGUGGGCCCCACCAGAUUUUCUUUUCUUUUCCCCUUUUUCUUUUACUUCAAUUCUUACACCACACACACAAGUGCACCACAAGCAAAUACUACUUAAUCCACAUAAUUUAAAAUGCACAAUGCAAAUGGACCCAACCACAAUCCCGAACACAACAUAUGAAAAGACAGAAAUACUCGUCUCCACGAAUUAAUGGAAAAAUGAAAAUGCUGAAAAAUCAGAAACAUCACAAUCUCCCCAACUUAAAAGGAUUUCGUCCCCGAAAUCAAGCCGUACCUGGGGAAGAGAACAACUCUGAAUACUUGGAGCGAACCUGCUGUUCAAGCUCCCAAGUAGCCUCCUCGACUCCGUGGUGUCGCCAAAGAACUUUCACUAUCUGCAUCGUUUUACCCCUUAACACCUUCUGCCGUGUGUCAAGAAUCUGCACUGGUCCCUCUUGAUAGGAGAUAUCUUCAUCAAUGUCCACAUCGACCCAAUCCAAAAUGUGAGAUGGAUCCGGUUUAUACUUCCGUAGCAUCGACACAUGAAAAACAUUAUGAACCUUGUCCAUCUGCGGUGGUAAAGCGAGUCUGUAAGCAACCUCUCCUAUACGGUCCAAAAUCUCAAAUGGUCCAAUGAAUCGUGGCGACAACUUGCCACUUUUCCCAAACCUCAUUAAACCCUUCCGUGGAGAAACCCUCAGAAAAACAUGGUCUCCCACUUCAAAAGCUAGCGGUCGUCUCCGCUUGUCUGCAUAGUUCUUCUGUCGACUCUGAGCGGUGAGCAACCUCUGUCUGAUCAAUUUGAUUUUCUCGGUAGUCUCGAGUAUAAUGUCGGGUCCUAAGGCAGCUGUCUCACCUACCUCAGUCCAACAAACUGGAGACCUACAAGGUCUGCCAUACAACGCCUCAAACGGAGCCAUCUCUAUGCUCGCCUAAUAACUGUUGUUGUAGGCAAACUCAAUGAGCGGUAGAUGAUCUUCCCAACUGCCACCCAAGUCAAGCACACAUGCCUAGAGCAUAUCCUCCAAGAUCUGAAUAGUACGCUCCGACUGGCCGUCUGUCUGUGGAUGGAAUGCCGUGCUAAGGUUUAACGCUGAACCAAACACUAUUUGAAGUCCUUCCCAGAACUUCGAAGUGAACUUAGCAUCCCUGUCCGAAACAAUGGUUACUGGAACUCCAUGUAACCUUACAAUCUCCUUCACGUAAAGAACGCCAAGUGUCUUUGCAUCAUCUGUUGUCUUAAUAGGCAAAAAGUGAGCCGUCUUGGUCAAUCUAUCAAUGAUGACCCAUACGGCCUCAUUGCCCCUUCGUGACCUUGGAAGACCUGUCACAAAAUCCAUCGCAAUCUGUUCCCAUUUCCAUUGUGCUACAGGCAAUGGUUGCAACAAUCCUGCCGGUCUCUGAUGCUCGGCCUUUACCUCUUGACAGGUAAGGCACUUAGCCACAAACUGCGCAACGUCCUUCUUUAUCCUAUUCCACCAAUACUGACGUCUCAAAUUGUGAUACAUUUUUGUACCACCUGGAUGAACUACAAAGCGGGAAGUGUGAAACUCCCGAAGAACAUCUUCACGACAAACCGUGGGGACAACCAACAAAUCUUUAAACCGUAGACCCCUAUCUGCAUGUAAGGUCCAAUCCUUCACUGUCUCACCACUGGAGAUUAAAGCAUGAAUGGCAUCCAAAUCUGGAUCCUGUCUCUGUGACUCAAUCACUCGUCCAACAAGAGUAGGCUGAGCCAUAAGACUAAACAAGAAUGCCGACCCAUUGCAAUCAUCCUCAUCUAAACAACACAAUCCCAUUUCCGCCAAACUUUCAAGCAUCUUCCACUUCCGAAUAGCCAAACAGGCCAAAGUGCCUCUAGAUUUUCGGCUUAAGGCAUCAGCUACAACAUUUGCCUUGCCCGGAUGAUACUGCAAAUCAAAGUUGUAAUCUUCCAAGUACUCAACCCACCGUCUCUGUCUAUUGUUCAAGUCCUUUUAGGAGAAAAGGUACUUGAGGCUCUAAUGAUCCGAGAACACCUCGAAUCGUUCACCAUACAAGUAAUGUCUCCAACAUUUUAGAGCAAAUACUACUGCCGCCAACUUUAAAUUAUGAGUAGGGUAGUUGUACUCAUGAGUCUUUAACUGCCGAGACCCAUAAGCCACUACUCUACCAUCUUGCAUCAACACAUAUCCCAAGCCAUCGCGUGAAGCAUCACAAUAAAUCACAUAACCCAAGCCACGCUCAGGUAUCACCAACAUUGGAGCUGUAGUCAAUCUUGUCUUCAACUCCUGAAAAGAUGACUCACAAGCUUCAUUCCACGUAAACUUGAUCCCUUUCCGAGUCAAACGGGUCAUAGACGCUGCCAAACGGGAGAAAUCUUUCACAAAUCUCCGGUAGUAACCCGCUAGACCAAGAAAAUUGCGGAUCUCAAACACAUUCUUGGGUUGCUCCCAAGUCAAAACAGCUUCAAUCUUUGAUGGAUCAACUGACACUCCACCUUCUGGAACAACAUGCCCCAAGAACUUCACCUCUUGUAGCCAAAACUCACACUUCUCAUAUUUGGCAUGCAAUCGGUGCUCCCGCAAAAUCUGCAAAACAAUACUUAAAUGGACCUCGUGCUUUUCCCGAGUCCGUGAAUACACAAGAAUGUCAUCCACGAAUACUACCACAAACUGGUCCAAGUAAUCGUGAAAGACGCGGUUCAUCAAGUCCAUGAAUGCCGCUGGCGCUUUAGUCAAGCCAAAAGGCAUAACAAGGAACUCAUAGUGUCCAUACCGUGUACGGAAUGCUGUCUUUGGGAUAUCUUCAUCCCUAACCCUCAACUGAUAGUAGCCAGAUCUUAAAUCAAUCUUUGAGAAACAACUGGCUCCUUUCAACUGAUCAAACAAAUCGUCUAUCCUUGGCAAACGAUACUUGUUCUUGAUGGUGGCAUGAUUCAACUUCCGGUAAUCAAUGCAUAACCUCAAAGAACCAUCUUUCUUUUUAGCAAACAAGACCGGUGCGCCCCAUGGUGACACACUUGGUCGGAUGAAACCUUUCAUCCUCAAAUCAUCAAGCUGCCUUUUCAAUUCUUCCAAUUCAACUGGUGCCAUACGAUAUGGUGCCAUAGAAAUCGGCGCAAUACCGGGCAUCAAAUCAAUGGUAAACUCCACUUUCCGGUGUGGAGGCAACUCCGUCAGAUCCUCUGGAAACACGUCCAGAAAAUCACGAACAACCGCCGGAUAACUUUUUCCCACAACAUCCUCCUCUUUGGCUAGAAGACUAGCCAAGAAGUAAUCACCACGACUCCGUCCACGAAUUCCAUACAACGAUGAAGGCUGGGAAUCACUCCGAUCUCCCAUGAAAAAGAAACAAUCUCCCUCAGGAGUGCAAACCGUGACUUUUCCUCUGAAACAAUCGAUCGUGGCAUGAAAGGAAGCUAACCAAUCCAUCCCGAGAAUGACGUCAAAGCUAGUCAUCUCCAGGAGGAUAAGGUCAAACACGAAAGUUCGUCCAACAAUCACAAUGGGACAAUCCCGCACAACUCGGCUCAAAGACACUGAAACCCCAACCGGCGUAUCAUCACACAACGCCCGAUCCAAGAAACUAACCUCUAACCCCGAUGCAAAUGCAAAUGAUGAUGAAAUGAAAGAGUGAGAUGCACCAGAGUCAAACAAAACACGGGCCCAAGAACCAAACACUGGAAAUAUACCUCGGAGAACUGACGGUCCAGGAGAUGGAUCAGUCGGUGCAAGUGCAAAGACACGUCCCUGUUGUGCCUGUGCUUGAGAACCACCAAUCUGAACACCAGACUAUUGUGCCGACACAGUAGGAGUAUCCCUCCUAGCUGGACGAGAACCCUGAGAAGACAUGGCAGGCUGAGGUGGUGGCGGUGGUCUGAAACCUGACUGAACUGUAGCCGACUGUGACGGCCUCUGUCAUGACCCUCUGCCACUACCAGUACCUGCUCCCUGACUAGGACAGUCCCGAAUCAAGUGAUCCGGCUGGCCACACCCAUAAUAAGUCCUUGGAACUGAAGAAACUGAAGACGAUCUCAUGGGACAACUAGACAUGUAGUGCCCAGGUUGCUGACAUUGAUAACAAACAACUCCACUUCUGUCAGAUCCAGCUGGUAUAGGAGUGGUAGGAGCAGAUCGUGCAGACUGUUGCCCCUGAAACUGAAAUGAACCACUCUUGCUCCUUUUCCAAGGAGAUCCCUCUGAGGAUGGCCCUACACCUCUCUUUUGCUUCAACUGCUCUCUUCUUGCAUCCUUCUCUUUAUUAUCGGCCUCCAACAUUAAUGCCCUUUCUACUGCUUCCGAGUAAACUUUAAUGAAUUGCGCCGUGAUCAACGGCCUCAUCCGAUCAUUAAGACCAGAAACAAACUUCCGAGUCUUGCAAGCUUCAUCUCUCACCAUUUCUGGAGCAAAACGGGAGAGUGAAGUAAACUUGUUCUCAUAUUCUGCCACUGACAUGCUCCCUUGAAUAAAGUUAUGAAACUGGUCUUGUAACUCCCAUCUUUUGGAAAGCGGAAAAUACUUUUCAUAGAACAGUUCCUUGAACCUGUCCCAACUCAUCUCCUCCACCUUAUACUGGUUGGUGAUUGACUUCCACCAAACCUUGGCAUCUUUAGCAAACUUGUAAGUAGCUAGGAUGAUCUUCAAAUGAUCCUCCGUCACAUCCAUUGAGGUCAACUAAGUCUCAACCUGAUCCAGGUAGUCAUCUGCUACCAUUGGAUCCGCACCGCCCUCGAACAUAACUGGCAUCAACUGAGAAAAACCUUUAAUGAUCUUGAGACACUUCUGAGCUGGCGUCUCUUCAACUUGAACUGUAGGUUGUGGUGCCGAUUGCGACUGAGCAGCAAUCGUUGCCCUCACGGCACUUUGCAACAAACGAUUAAACUCCAGUGCCACAGAACCUUCACCCACUUCUACGGGUGCUUCAACAUUAUCCCUCAUCGGGGGAACAACUAUUAGGGGAAUCAAGUCCCUAAGAAGCGUGUCCUCAUCAUUUAGUUCCGCCGGAUUAGAGCUAGAGCUCUCACCAACGUCACCCCUUGUUGGCCUAGGGCCAACUUCCCUUAACUCUUCACGUCGUGACAUCGUGCUAUAAAAUGAGAGAACGGUUCAAAAACAUGACGCUAAAGUCCACCGUGGACGACUCAACAUAAAAUGAUGACGUACCAACACUUAGCAUGCACAACUAUACAAGAAACACUUUAAUGUAACAUUUAGGCACAUAAGCACAUAGACAAUUAAACAUACUUGUUCAAAUAAAUAAACACGUAGCAAGGAAUCACGUAAACAAUGCAAACAACACCCCACGUAACUCUAUGUAGGCCUCUACCUGUCGUCCCAAAGGUUUUCGAAGCCGCGCUCUGAUACCAUUCUGUAACGACCCAAAUCCUCAUGGAUCCGGAUCAUUAAAUGGGUCCUUACCAGACCCAAAAUCAUCCAAGGGUAAAACGGUCAUUUCACGUCAAAUUAAAAUGUUGAAUUCCAAAAAGGGCAAGAUGGUAAUUUGCCAUAUUUCAAUAAAUUAAGACCCAAAGGACAUCAUAGUCAUUUACGUGCAUCACACAAUAAUUAAAAUGAGGUCUGGGGUAAAAAUAGUCCUUUUGGGGCAAAAAUAUAAUUAUUUGAUUUUGGUGGUCAUAAAAUAAUUACGUGCAACAUCACUUGGGGCCAAAAUGAAAUUAUAAGAACUUAAAAUUUGUAAUUACAUAUGUGACGUAAACCGGUCGACGUAUAUGCAUCAAACGUCGACUGGUUUGGGUUAGGAACAGUGGUACUGCCAAGAUACCAGUCGACUGGUUUGGGAUACCGGUCGACUGGUUUGGAUACCAGUCGACUGGUUCUGAACAUAAGUUAUAAUGGAUACCGGUCGACUGGUUUGGGACACCGGUCGACUGGUUUGGGACGUAUGCCAUAAUGACCAUUCUGCCAAGAUAACGGUCAACAUUUGGGAAGCCACAUGUCGAUCGGUUUAGGGAAAAUUGCACUCCCACUUCCCACUGUCCAGUAAUAACUCACUUACACCGACACUUGGUAAUUAACCACCCUGCCAUUACAUUCACGUACAAAAUUAAGAUAUACUUUAACAUCAAAUUGUAAUAACAACCACCACCACGUUGGUAACGUAAUUUACAAUAGGUUACUUAGAAUACACAAAAUUGAUUUUGAGUGAGUAAUACUUAAUUACAUUUUCUCAAGGAUCAUUCACAAGCUUAAUUACAUUCCCAAAACUAUAAUUACACAUGAAAUAGCUAAAUACAAGAUAGCAAAAAUCAUCUUCUAACAACUUUCAAUUUUGAGGUGGAUUAGCAUCCGCCGGUUCUUUUCCAUGACCUGAAAAAAAUAUAUAUAGAUAGUAGGGUGAGCUAUAUGCUCAGUAGGUGACACUUAAGACACACAUCUUGUGUCCUUAUUGAUCCAAUCAAAGCAUAGACCAAUGGGAAAUGGGGAUCAUGCAAUGUAGGGUUAAAACAACUUCAAUGUCAAUUCCAAGUGUAAACAAUGCAAUACAAUGAAAUGCAAUGCAUGAUAUGUCACUCCCCAUUUUUCAUUUCUCAAAAUCAUACUUUCCAACUGUUAAUACAGCUCGCCCUUUGGUAACCCCUCCGCGACAUGAGAGGAGGAUUGGCUAGUGUCCCUGACCCUUGGUAACCCCGCGGCGUCAUUAUGGGGCCCAGCUAGCUCAACCACGCUAGGGCGACUCCUUAGUCCCCUCUAGGCUAUAUUAACCUCCGGCCCGUUGGUAACCCCGCAGCGACCGGGUUUAUCAAAACCAUUUCACAAAAACUCUUCUCCCAAAAUUCCCGUUUUCAUUUCAAAAACUGAUUUCUCCCAUUUCAUGCAACCCAAUGGCAUGUACAUGUAUAUGUGUCUCAAGCUUACAAUAUUAUGGCAUGUAGAAGUUUUACAUUUCAUAAUUACUUCACAACUAAGCAUAUAUCAUAUUCAACAUCAUCAAUUGAGUCAUUAACACAUUAAACACAACAAAACUAUCACCACAACAUGCUUUUCACAUAGAACAAAUCAUAAUCAAAAUCAUGAAUUUCUCUAGACAUCAAUUACACAACAUUGAAACAAUUAACUCUCAAAUUAAGCAUGUUUAUCACACAAAGGAGAUAUAACUCACAAUGGAACAAGAAGGAAGUGGAUUAAGGGCCCCUAUCUCAAGUUUGCACCAAAAUAAAGAUGGGUCUCAAUUUCAAAUUCCCUAGGGAGACUCAAAGCUGGAAUUGAUGGUACUCACGCGUAGAGCUUGUCGUGCUCUCCGUUUUGCCUCAAACGGCACCUUAAUCCGCCAAGAAUUGAGAGAAUAAUCAAAACUCAAAGAUUGCCUUUCAAGUGGAAAGAAAAAGAAAAGGAAAAUAAGAGAGGGAGAGAAGCUACGGGAGAGAGAGAAUGUGUGGAGCAAAGAAGUGUGGUCUCAAGACCAUUUCAAGUGUGAGUGGUGGGCCCCACCAGAUUUUCUUUUCUUUUCCCCUUUUUCUUUUACUUCAAUUCUUACACCACACACACACAAGUGCACCACAUGCAAAUACUACUUAAUCCACAUAAUUUAAAAUGCUCAAUGCAAAUAGACCCAACCACAAUCCCGAACACAACAUGCGAAAAGACAGAAAUACCCUUGUCUCCACGAAUUAAUGGAAAAAUGAAAACGCUGAAAAAUCAGAAACAUCACAGCUUCAUCUGAGACAAGACUGUACUCUCGUGCUUCCAAAUUGUAUCCGCUGGAUCCGUCGUCAGAACUUCUGCAAACAAAAGCUGUUCAGUUCGAGGGAUCUUUAAAUGUGAGGGCAAGUUACUUCUCUGGUCAAGAUAUAUAUGGUGAUGCAAUUCUGGCAUCUGUAGGGUACAAACGGAACUCUGCUGACCUCUUCCAUAAAGAUGUAUCCUUGCAUACGUAUUACAGAAUUAGCCCUCCUUCCCAACACCAACAAGAGCAGCCAUUGAAGACAGGAAGGAUAAAAGCUCAACGUAGACAAAAUUAAGUUAAUCGAACUCUGUGGCACAUCAGAAUCUGAAUUUUCCAGUGUCUCUACAUCCAUGAAGGACCUGUGUCAUGAUGUUUUUGGGAUAUCAAAGGAAAAGAAAGAUCCAAGAGAUGUGAAAGGUUACCGAGGUGAGGAGAGAAGGAUUAAUGAAUUGGAGACGAGAGAAGAAUCUGAGCUGUUCAUUGCUAAGUACUCCUGAACUUCAUCAGCUAUACCCUCUCCACAAGUGUAGGAAGAUGGUGGUUGAAAUUUUUUGCUAGCUUCUGGAACAUAUCGUUAAUAUGUAUCCCCUCACAAGAUCCACAAGUGAUCGGUUGAAUAGCUCGUUUAAAGCUACACCUAUUUCCUUAUUGUCAACUUGGUACUUCAACCGAAUUAGCUGAGAAAGCAACUUCAAAAUUAUAAGAAAAUGAGAGAAUAAGGUGUACUUUUGUCUAUUAACAAAAGCAAAGCAAAUGAUGUUCCUAGAAAGCGCACUAAGCAAGCUCGACUCAACUUCGUGAAGGAGGCUCCUGAAACCCAAGUGGGUGCUUUGUGAAGGGCAUUGUUCUUCUCUUCUAGUUUUUGUUUGUUUUAUUUGGUGCAAGUGCUCACAAGGAGAGAGAUGAUGGAAGUACACCGGUUUUUCUUUACUUCUGAAAAACACAACUUUUUGAAGGUUGAAUAAUUUGGUCUAUUGGUGUUUUUAUCAAUUUCUAUAUAUUGCGCGGAUUAUGGAGGUGGCUUGAUUAUAGAAAUUUGAGCAGCAUUGUACAGAAUGCAAAUUAUUGUCCAUACAUUACAUUAUCUUCAUUUAAAUAUAUUGUUAUAGCCUCCAAAAAUAAGUGUCA